ensembl:misc_RNA Metazoa_SRP Metazoan signal recognition particle RNA
GCUGGGUGUGGUGGCUCACGCCUGUAAUCCCAGCACUUUGGGAAGCCGAGGCGGGAGGAUCACCUGAGGUCGGGAGUUCGAGACCAGCCUGGCCAACAUGGUGAAACCCCGUCUCUA